CCUACGGGUGGCAGCAGUGGGGAAUAUUGGGCAAUGGGCGCAAGCCUGACCCAGCAACGCCGCGUGAAGGAAGAAGGCUUUCGGGUUGUAAACUUCUUUUCUGAGGGACGAAGAACGUGACGGUCCCUCAGGACUACGCCACGGCUAACUACGUGCCAGCCGCCGCGGUAAUACGUAGGUGGCAAGCGUUAUCCGGAUUUAUUGGGUGUAAAGGGCGUGUAGGCGGGAAAGCAAGUCAGAUGUGAAAGCUCAGGGCUCAACCCUGGGCCUGCAUUUGAAACUGUUGGUCUUGAGUGCGGGAGAGGCAAUCGGAAUUCCGGGUGUAGCGGUGAAAUGCGUAGAUAUACGGAGGAACACCAGUGGCGAAGGCGGAUUGCUGGACAGUAACUGACGCUGAGGCGCGAAAGCGUGGGGAGCAAACAGGAUUAGAUACCCCAGUAGUC
rnacentral:rRNA from 1 species